rnacentral:rRNA from 1 species
CCUACGGGAGGCAGCAGUAAGGAAUAUUGGUCAAUGGACGAAAGUCUGAACCAGCCAUGCCGCGUGAAGGAUGAAGGUCCUCUGGAUUGUAAACUUCUUUUAUCUGGGACGAAAAAAGGGCUUUCUAGCUCACUUGACGGUACCAGAGGAAUAAGCACCGGCUAACUCCGUGCCAGCAGCCGCGGUAAUACGGAGGGUGCAAGCGUUAUCCGGAUUUACUGGGUUUAAAGGGAGCGUAGGUGGGCAGGUAAGUCAGUGGUGAAAUCUCUGGGCUUAACCCGGAAACUGCCAUUGAUACUAUCUGUCUUGAAUAUCCUGGAGGUAAGCGGAAUAUGUCAUGUAGCGGUGAAAUGCUUAGAUAUGACAUAGAACACCCAUUGCGAAGGCAGCUUACUACGGGAUUAUUGACACUGAGGCUCGAAAGCGUGGGGAUCAAACAGGAUUAGAUACCCUGGUAGUCCACGCCCUAAACGAUGGAUACUCGACAUCAGCGAUACACUGUUGGUGUNUGNGNGAAGANAUAGUAUACCACCUCGGAGACGACGACGAGUAGUAACGUACGAAGAAGUAGAGGCGUGAGACGAGACCGACGGACGACGACGAGGGAGGAGG